rnacentral:rRNA from 1 species
UACGUAGGGUGCGAGCGUUGUCCGGAAUUACUGGGCGUAAAGGGCUCGUAGGCGGCCAACUAAGUCACACGUGAAAUCCCCAGGCUUAACCUGGGAACUGCGUGUGAUACUGGAUGGCUUGAAUCCGGGAGAGGGAUGCAGAAUUCCAGGUGUAGCGGUGAAAUGACGUAGAUAUCUGGAGGAAUACCGGUGGCGAAGGCGGCAUCCUGGACCGGCAUUGACGCUGAUGAGCGAAAGCUAGGGGAGCAAACGGGG